rnacentral:rRNA from 3 species
GGACUACCGGGGUAUCUAAUCCCGUUCGCUCCCCUAGCUUUCGUGCCUCAGCGUCAGAAGAGACCCAGUGAGCCGCUUUCGCCACCGGUGUUCCUUAGGAUAUCAACGCAUUUCACCGCUCCACCCUAAGUUCCGCUCACCUCUGUCUCACUCGAGCACAGUAGUUUUGGGCGCAGUUCCUCGGUUAAGCCGAGGGAUUUCACACCCAACUUUCUGCGCAGCCUACGCACCCUUUAAGCCCAGUGAUUCCGAAUAACGUUCGUACGGUUCGUCUUACCGCGGCUGCUGGCAC